GGGGGCGACUGGUUUCGACAGGGUAGGUCUGAGAUGGGAAGCAAGCCGUGGUCUCCUCGCCACGUAAAACAGGGGUACCGUCAAAUUUAAUUGACAACACUGAUUCUUAUGAGCCUCUGGCUCUUGCUGCUUAGUUAAUCUAACCAGCACGUCAAUCCUCCGGUUUCCUCCGCCGGUGGUGCGGCGUCAUCCUAGGGGGAUGCACGACGGGACGUAGUCGGUAUGCCCGUCGCAAAGAUCGAACCGGCUAGGACGCCGAACGCGGGUCGCCAGGCGCGACGCGUCCGAACCUCAAUUGGCGACUGAGCUUGGAGAAACCUGUCAGGGAGCUAUUUUGGACCGGAGUUCGAUUCUCCGCGCCUCCACCA
rnacentral:tmRNA from 1 species